rnacentral:rRNA from 1 species
AUACGGAGGGGGCUAGCGUUGUUCGGAAUUACUGGGCGUAAAGCGCACGUAGGCGGAUUAAAAAGUUAGAGGUGAAAUCCCAGGGCUUAACCCUGGAACUGCCUUUAAAACUAGUAGUCUAGAGUUCGAGAGAGGUGAGUGGAAUUCCAAGUGUAGAGGUGAAAUUCGUAGAUAUUUGGAGGAACACCAGUGGCGAAGGCGGCUCACUGGCUCGAUACUGACGCUGAGGUGCGAAAGCGUGGGUAGCAAACGGAAUUAGAAACCCCAGUAGUCC